AACUAUUUAUUAACGGCGACGGAAACCUAAUAACGUUAAAGAUGUUUCAUGUCUUUCUGUCUGUGUUCAGUCUGGAGCUGUGCUGGGUUUUAUUCAUCAGUUUUAAUAAAACAGGAGCAAACAUUAAAAUGGAACUCGAACAGGAUGUUUCUAAUUACCGAUAGUUACACAUGUUUGUGUACGUUCUAGGUUUAGUGAUGUAAGUGUGUGUUUGUGUUUAAAUGAUUAUUUAGGUGAUUCCUGGUCUGGGAAGUUUGAGAAACUUUACAUUAGAUCAUGUGAUUUUCAUCCACGCAGUGAGGUUGAAAGUUUUCUAAUCAAUACAACACAUUACAGCUGCUGCUGCUGCUGCGGAACGAGCACGAGUUCCUCCUGCAGAGCAGCAGCAGCGGGUCAGCUGAUGGAGGCAGCAGCAGGAAACUGAAGUGAGACGGGGAGAGACAGAGAGAGAGAAGCUCAACUUUGUCCAACCAGCAGACCUGAGCGGAGGAUUCUCUCAUCUCAAACUAAAACCAAAUAAACAACCGAGGAGCUGCAGCAGCAGCAGCAGCAGCGUCAUCGUUGAAACGUCAUGGCUCAGCCGAGUGACGCGUCAGUGUCGGUGUGCGGGACUCAGAUCUCCUUCAUCGGACACGACUGUAGGAACGUUCCAGAUUUCCUGGGAGACAAAUACGGUCACUACGCCAAAAGACUGGAUCUGAGCUUCAAUCAGCUAAGGUUAGUAAUUGGGUCGAGCUGAUGAGUUGCUUCACAGACCAAGUGUAAAUCCAGCCCCGUCCCCUCCGCUCCCCUCUUCUUCCCCCUUCGCUGUAAAUCUGACACAGCUGGAACAAGGUGCAAUCAGAACAAAUAUUGAUCCUGCUUGAAGCCCGCUGUGUCUUUGUGCAAAUGUUCUUGUGUGUGUGUGCACAUCCAGUCAGUGUGGUGUAAACCUGAACAGCCCUGGUGUUUAGGUAAACAUUUGUCCACUGAUGUUAAACUGCUGAGAUGGUUUUAGAGUCUGCUCAUUGGCUCCUCUGUGUCUGAUAAAUGUUCCCGAGUGUUUCAGUUUACAAUGAAGGAAUGACGAUAUUGAUGAUGAUGAUGAUGAUAUUGAAUAUGAUACAAAAAGUUUACAU